rnacentral:pre_miRNA from 3 species
CAGUCCUGGUGGUAGCUCAGGAAGCAGAGCCUGGAGCAUCUCCACUAUGGCCUGGGCUCCACUACUUCUCACCCUCCUCGCUCACUGCACAGGUGG